UGUGUACAUUAUUAGAUAUUCAUGUACAUGUACAUGUAGGUUGGGAGUCUCAGUUACUUGAAAUGGGUUUCCUUGCAAUGUUCUUAUCUCCAGUUUUGAGUUAUAGCCAGUUUCCACGUCACACGCCCACAAGCUGGACCAAUGUCUGGGGAAAUCGCUGGAUGAUAUUCCGCAUUAUGAUUGGAGCUGGUUUGAUAAAGAUGAGAGGUGAUAGCUGUUGGAGGGACUUGACUUGUAUGAACUAUCAUUAUGAGGUUUGUACAUUGUAUAUUGUAUAGUGUAUGAUGCUUUAAUGUGGUGGAGUUUCAGUUUGACAUUUUGUGAUCUGAGAUUGAUUUAUAAUCAGCAUAA
rnacentral:lncRNA from 1 species